ACCGCCUGGACUGAAGGCCGUGCAACAAUACGGCCCGUAAGGCGAUGACGAUGCAGGAAGCCGGUGCGAAUCCGGCGCGGUCCCGCCACUGUCAUCGGGGAGCGACCCUCACGAGCCACGGCUGAGCAGAGCUGGAAGGCGAGGCGAGCAACGAUCCGAGAGCCAGGACACUCGCGUCGUCGCAUCCUGCGACC
rnacentral:ncRNA from 15 species